CCUACGGGUGGCAGCAGUGAGGAAUAUUGGUCAAUGGACGGAAGCCUGAACCAGCCAUGCCGCGUGCAGGAAGACGGUCCUAUGAAUUGUAAACCGCUUUUGUCCAGGGGCAAACCCGAAUACGUGUAUUCAGCUGAAAGUACUCUAAGAAUAAGGAUCGGCUAACUCCGUGCCAGCAGCCGCGGUAAUACGGAGGAUUCAAGCGUUAUCCGGAUUUAUUGGGUUUAAAGGGUGCGUAGGCGGAUAGGUGAGUUAGCAGUGAAAUUUGCGUGAUUAACUCCGGAACAGCCGUUGAUACUGGUGAUCUAGAGUGUGGAUGCGGUAGGCGGAAUGUGUGGUGUAGCGGUGAAAUGCUGAGAGAUCAUGCAGAACACCGAUUGCGAAGGCAGCUUACCAGUCUCUAUCUGACGUGGAGGCACGAAAGCGUGGGGAGCGAACAGGAUUAGAUACCCCUGUAGUC
rnacentral:rRNA from 1 species